AACGAACGCUGGCGGCAGGCUUAACACAUGCAAGUCGAGCGGGCCCUUCGGGGUCAGCGGCCGACGGGUGAGUAACACGUGGGAACGUACCUUUUGGUUCGGAACAACUCCGGGAAACUGGAGCUAAUACCGGAUAAGCCCUUAGGGGGAAAGAUUUAUCGCCAAAAGAUCGGCCCGCGUCUGAUUAGCUAGUUGGUGGGGUAACGGCUCACCAAGGCGACGAUCAGUAGCUGGUCUGAGAGGAUGAUCAGCCACACUGGGACUGAGACACGGCCCAGACUCCUACGGGAGGCAGCAGUGGGGAAUAUUGGACAAUGGGCGCAAGCCUGAUCCAGCCAUGCCGCGUGAGUGAUGAAGGCCUUAGGGUUGUAAAGCUCUUUUGUCCGGGAAGAUAAUGACUGUACCGGAAGAAUAAGCCCCGGCUAACUUCGUG
rnacentral:rRNA from 1 species